rnacentral:rRNA from 1 species
UUAUCUGGUUUGAUCCUGCCAGUAGUCAUACGCUCGUCUCAAAGAUUAAGCCAUGCAUGUGUAAGUAUAAAUAAUUCUACUUUGAAACUGCGAAUGGCUCAUUAUAUCAGUUAUAGUUUAUUAGAAAUAAUUUACUACUUGGAUAACCGUAGUAAUUCUAGGGCUAAUACAUGAGUAAAUCCUCGACUUUGAAGAGGUGUGUUUAUUAGUAUGAAAACCAUAUGCUUUUGCAUAAUAGUGAGUAAUAAUAACCUUUCAUAUCGUAUGUUGUAAUAACGAUAGUUCUUUCAAGUUUCUGCCCUAUCAGCUUUCGAUGGUAGUGCAUUGGACUACCAUGGCAGUAACGGGUAACGAAGAAUUUGGGUUCGAUUUCGGAGAGGGAGCCUGAGAGAUGGCUACCACAUCCAAGGAAGGCAGCAGGCGCGUAAAUUACCCAAUCCUGACAUAGGGAGGUAGUGACAAUAAAUCACAAUGCGGGACUUUUAGUUUUGCAAUUGGAUUGAGAACAAUGUAAAAGAGUUAUCGAUAAACAAUUGGAGGGCAAGUCUGGUGCCAGCAGCCGCGGUAAUUCCAGCUCCAAUAGCGUAUAUUAACGUUGUUGCAGUUAAAAAAGCUCAGAGCUUUUUAACUGCAACAACG